CCUCCAGACUCCUACGGGAGGCAGCAGUGGGGGAUAUUGCACAAUGGGGGAAACCCUGAUGCAGCGACGCCGCGUGGGUGAAGAAGUAUUUCGGUAUGUAAAGCCCUAUCAGCAGGGAAGAAAGAAGACGGUACCUGAUUAAGAAGCCCCGGCUAACUACGUGCCAGCAGCCGCGGUAAUACGUAGGGGGCGAGCGUUAUCCGGAUUCACUGGGUGUAAAGGGAGCGUAGACGGCCGUGCAAGCCAGGAGUGAAAGCCCGGGGCCCAACCCCGGGACUGCUCUUGGAACUGUGCGGCUGGAGUGCGGGAGGGGCAGGCGGAAUUCCUGGUGUAGCGGUGAAAUGCGUAGAUAUUAGGAGGAACACCAGUGGCGAAGGCGGCUUACUGGACUGUAACUGACGUUGAGGCUCGAAAGCGUGGGGAGCAAACAGGAUUAGAUACCCCGGUA
rnacentral:rRNA from 1 species